rnacentral:tRNA from 1 species
GGGCGAAUAGCUCAGAUGGGAAGAGCGCCUCCCUUACAAGGAGGAGGUCACCCGUUCAAAUCGGGUUUCGCCCA